GGAGAGUUUUUUCUUCCUUUUUAGCCGUUCAGAAUUUUUAAAGCUUUCCACCCGCGAUUUCAUUUUCCCUCCACAUCAACAUGGGGCCAGAUGCACAGGUCUCCGUGUAUCUCAGUAACUCUCGGAAGCAUUAAUUAUAAGUAAAGACGCUCCAUUUUUAUUAUUAUUGUAAAACUGGUGGGACUUCACAAAAUCAUUCCAUGUGCUCUUUCCAACUAACAAGCCAAGAAAGAGAAAAGCAAAGACCGCAGACGAAGGAAAAAAAGAUUCCGAGCAACAACAACACAAGGUGCAAAUCCCAGCGCCCACGAGUUUCGAUCCUGGGACCUGUUGUCUUUCUGAUAGGUACUACCGGAGUAACAAAACUUGAGGAGUGAGCACUAGUGUACAGGAAAUUGAACUUGUCUGGUGAUUUAGGCUUCGGCAGGGAAUUUUGAAGGGCUGCAAGGCCAUAUACUGGUACUCUAUUGAAAGUUGAGCCCUUUCGACUGACAUAUAUGUUAUGUUAAAUACUUGACCACAUGAGGUUUUGUAAUGGUAGUUUUGUGCUCUUAUCAUUUUAAUUUUAAAUAUUAGCAUGAAGGAUCUAGUAUUUGGAUAUGCCGUCCUUUUCUGAAUUAGUAGAUUUUGGGAGCAGGCAUUUUUCCCAAUUGGAUAUUAUUCCAGUAUACUUGUUAACUGCGAUCAACUUUAUUUUGAAUGGAAACCCAUAAUUUUGGCAAGGCUGAGUAUGACGCUUCUUCUAUGAACAAGAGCUCAGAAGCUGACACUUUGAAAAAUUCAGAAGCAGUUGGAAUAAAUAAUGGGAAUGGAGAUGAAACUUUGGAUCUUGGAUCCACUCAAGAUGACCCAGAUUAUGUUGUUGGCAUUCUCGCUCAGUUUGAACAGACCCAAGAUUUUCUUGAGGAUCUGGAAUGCAGGUUAUCAGUGUCAGCCAUGGUUUCAGAUGCUGUCACAAAUGGGGUUGCGAAUGCCCUCAUGGAGGAAACAUCUGAGGCCCUUACUGCAAAGGAAGCUGAAAUAGUUGCAUUAAACGAUAAAUUGGAAGAUAAAGAUAUUAAACUAUGGAACCUGACAGAAAAACUACGACAAAAGGAGCAGGAGCUGGCGAUGCUCCUUGCCGAGAACAACUCUGACCGUGGAAGGCUGGUGUCAGACUUUAUGUAUGAUAAAGAACGUCUGAAGCGUAAGUUGAGUGAAGCUGAAACACAUUGUAUAGAAAAAGAGAAACAGUUGGCAGAAAAAACUGAGGCCAUGAUGAAGAUGACAUCAGAGUUGGAGGCUGACAGGAACAGAAUCAUUGUUAUGGAAGAGCAAAUAAAGAACUUGCAUGAAGAGGAGUUGGAAAACGAAAGAAAUUCCCUUGAUUUGGUUGAGCAACUUGAGAGAUUGAAAUCACAAUACGUUACUGGAAAAGGGUCAAUUAUGGAAGAGGAUGUACAGAAUCUUACAUCAAAAUGUGGAGGACAACUAGUAGCAAAAGAAGAAUGCGAAGCACAGAUGCUUAGGCAUGAAAUUGAAAGAUCUGUCUGUGAAAGCAUAUAUGAAGGACAGCUGCUAGAGCUACAGGACAAACUUGAAACAGACAGGUUGUGGUCUAGGUCUACGAUUGCUACUAUGGAAAAGGAAAUGAAGAAGGUUAAGGAGUUAUCUGAAACUAAGUUGAUGAACAAGGGAUUUGAAGUUAUGAUUCUUGCUGAACAGUUGAAGGAAAUUGAGGUUGCUAAUGCAUUGCAAACUUCCGUUAUUGUUGGUGUACUGGAUUCAUCAAUUCAGGAAUUACAAAAUCAGAUUUCGAAGAACAUUCAGGACUUGGGUACACGUGACGAACAGAUAAAUUCUUUGACUUCUAUACUUAAUUGUCUAAAGCAGGAGUGUGAAAGUCUGAAAGCCCAAAUAUCCAGCAAUCAUGUGAUUGAUGCAGAGAUUGAAAACAAUCUGAGCACCUUAAAGGUAACAAUGGAAAAUCAAUGUACUAGAUUGAAGCAAGAUGUCGAGGAAGAAAGAGCACGAGUAAGAGAUGAUUUGUCAAGGAUAACAAAACUUCAGAAGCUCAACAAUAGUCUGGCUAAAAGAUUAAGGGAACAGCAGAUAAGCUUAGAGCAGGUGGAGGAGAAACUGGCAGAACAUGAAUGGCAACAAUCAAUUGUGUGCCUUUUUACAGAAGAAGUUUAUGGGAGCAAACUGAAUGAAGCUGUGCAACUCAUUACAAACCUUAAUUCAGAGUUGGAAAAGAAAGAUUCAGAAGUAGCUUCUCACAUGGAAAAAGCUGCUGCUCUGCAGGUGGCAUUAAAUGCUGAGAAGUCAGAGGUUCUGAGUUUACAAAGAAGGUUGAAAGGUUUUGAAUUUGAGAUUGACAGUUUGAAUAGCAUCGACUUUCAGAAGGUGGAUUCAGCAUUUGAAAAUAUUGAUUGCAGAUUCUUGAAAAUGUCUUUAAGACUGGAUGGCUUUGAAAAGAAUUCGAAAACCUGCUUUGAAAAUAUCCAAUCUCAUGUUGCCGAAUUUCUGGAGAAGCAAUGGAAGCAGAAUUUUGAAGAGCAUAUCAAUGGACUUGUGCUAAGGGAAUUCCUUGAAGGCCUUGAAGAGCAGCUCAAAGCAAAAGAGCUGGAGGAAAGAAAGUUCUGGGCAAUGCAAAUCAGAUUGGAUAAAGGAAGGGAGGCAUUGAUAAAUGAGGUUAAAUCUCUACGUCAAGAGUUAGAGCAGUUGAAAUUUGAUGAGCCAGGGAAAUCUACCUUCACUGCUGAUGGUAACAAUUCAAAUGGAUUUCAAACUUUCUCCCAACUUAAAAAGGAAGUGCAAAAUGGAGAAGCAAAUGAUGGUCACAGGAAGGAUUGGACUCCGAGGAGGUUUUCUACAGGUCAGAUUUCUACUGAUAUGUCAAAAUUGGAUGAUGGCUGUGGGAUUGCUGUGACAGGAAAGGUUGGAGAAGCUCAAUUGACAAAGGAACUUGAUCUAUCUGUGCAUACUUCACUUGAGUUUGCAGACACUCCAGACUCUCCAUUAAAAAUCCUUUCUAGAGAGCAACUCAUAGAACAUUUCAAACGAGUACUGGCUGAGCGAACAAGGAAAACAGAAUGCAUAUUGGAAGAAAAAACAGAAGAGAUCUACAAGCUUAAGAGGGACUUGAUGAGAGGGAAAGAUGGCACUUAUCUGAAAAAAGAUAAGGAGUUGAAUGCUUUGAAGAAAAGGAUUACCGAGAUUACAAGGAAAUUGGACAAUAUUGUUGAGGAGAACAAUAAGCUAUCUUCCUGUGUGGUUGAGGUUCAGGAUCAGAACUAUGAUUUAGUUUGCAAGCUCAAGGAUGAAAUGAAGGCCGAGAGGAGACAUUUGCUUGAGAAGCUUAGGCAAAAGGAAAACGAACUGAAAGCACUGUCUGAUAAACUAUUAGAUGCCUUGAGAAAAGAGAAAGAUUGCUUGGUUAGAGAAUCUGACUUAUUGAAACGCAUUGCAGACUUGGAGUCAGAAACGGAAAUGGUAGACAUGAUGCACCUGUAUGAAGCUGACAUAGUAAAUACAAUCUUUAAAGAGACAAUUAAUGAGAAAAAAAAUGCCUUGAAUUUGAUACUGAAGGAAAAUGAUGAGAAAACAGAGCUUAAGAAACAAAUUGUUUUGUUGGAGGAAGUGAUCAAAGAGAAGGAUGAUACUUUAGGUUUAGCAUCUUCACAGUUAGAGGAAAUAGAACAAUUUGAAAAACAGAAAAGCUCUUUAGAUUUGGCACUGAAAGAUUGUGAAGAGUUUAGGAAGCAAGUAUUAUCUUUGAAGGAAUGCAUAGAAGAAAAAGAUAAUAAAUUGAAAACUUUAUUUAGGGAGUUAGAACAAGUUAGGAAUGAAAAAAUCACACUGGAGGGAAUUGUCCAAGACAAGGAAAAUAUGAUAAAGACAGAACAAUACCAAACGAAGCAAUUUUUAGCCGCCACUGCAGAGAAAGAGAAUGCUUGGACUUUGGCUGCAAAAAAUACCAAAAUACAUGAAGAAAUGAUUACUUCCCUACAACAAACUCUAAGACACAAGGAGUUAUGCCUACAGUCAACUAUAAAGGAUAAAGAAGAAGCUGAAGAACAGAAAUAUCUCUUACAGGAAGAGGUACAGAAAGUCAUGAGUACUCUCAAGCGCAUGCAAAUACAAACAGAAGCAGCUCAGAAGCAGUAUAAAAAAGAACUCAAAGAUUUUGUUUGCAAAAGCAUGGAUGCUUCUUUACAGUUGGAACAGAGGGUUCUGAAAAGGAUUGCAGAGAAUAUGUUUAGGUUGGAACGGAGUAAGCAACAUAUGGAGAAGUUAAAGGGUGAAGCCAAUUCAUUUGUGCUGGGAAGCUCAUACUACAAAGACAAGCUUGAAAAGAAAUGCCUCAAUCUUCAAAAAGCUGAAGAAGAGGUUGAUGCGUUAGGAGAUGAAGUGGAUACUCUUCUAAGUCUCCUUGAGAAGGUUUAUGUUGCCCUCGAUCAUUAUUUACCAGUAUUGCAGCAUUAUCCUGGGAUUGAUGAUCUUGUAAAACUGAUAAAAAAAGAGCUGAUAGAUCAUGCUGAUAAUGGACUUUAGAGAUGCAUUUGAAUAUAAGACAUUUUGCAGGAGGAUAACUUGUUCAUAGAGACUGUAUUCUAUUCACAGAGACGCAGCAUUCUUUCAUCAGAUUUGCAUAUUCUUCUUCAAUAACAUAAGCUUAAGCACAGAUUCAUGAUUGUAUGAUGUUUGCUGAGAAAGGAGUAGUCGAUGUUCGUCUUCAAAGGAGGCUAUGUGAGAUUCAGAAAUUGUAUUCUAAGCACUUUUGCAAUGCUGGUAGAGCCUUACUGUAUGUAAAAUUAAUAAAAUUUGAUGUCAUAUUUUUUGCUUAGGCAUGAGUUGUACAUAUGCAGAGGUCUGAUUAGUUCCGAUUGUACUAUUGCCCUAUAAUGUGUAUAAAUAUAUAUUCCAGUUCCGAAUUAUAUGUUUAUCUCCAUAAGGUUCAACACUAUCAAAGUUGCAUGCUUAAGUCAUGUUCUUUUUGACUA